rnacentral:rRNA from 1 species
GAUGAACGCUGGCGGCGUGCCUAAUACAUGCAAGUCGAGCGAAUGGAUUAAGAGCUUGCUCUUAUGAAGUUAGCGGCGGACGGGUGAGUAACACGUGGGUAACCUGCCCAUAAGACUGGGAUAACUCCGGGAAACCGGGGCUAAUACCGGAUAACAUUUUGAACCGCAUGGUUCGAAAUUGAAAGGCGGCUUCGUCUGUCACUUAUGGAUGGACCCGCGUCGCAUUAGCUAGUUGGUGAGGUAACGGCUCACAAAGGCAACGAUGCGUAGCCGACCUGAGAGGGUGAUCGGCCACACUGGGACUGAGACACGGCCCAGACUCCUACGGGAGGCAGCAGUAGGGAAUCUUCCGCAAUGGACGAAAGUCUGACGGAGCAACGCCGCGUGAGUGAUGAAGGCUUUCGGGUCGUAAAACUCUGUUGUUAGGGAAGAACAAGUGCUAGUUGAAUAAGCUGGCACCUUGACGGUACCUAACCAGAAAGCCACGGCUAACUACGUGCCAGCAGCCGCGGUAA